AUUGAACGCUGGCGGCAGGCCUAACACAUGCAAGUAGACAGAGUAGCAGACGUGUUAGUAAUGUCAGGGAAACUGACAGAGGGAGGGGGAUAAAUAAUGAGAACGAUAGCUAAUACCGCAUGACAUCGGAUGUGCACAGAUUGGAUUAGAUAGUAGGUGGGGGAACGGCGCACCUAGACGACGAUCCCUUGCUGGUCUGCGAGGAUGACCAGCCACACUGGCACUGAGACACGGUCCAGACUCCUACGGGAGGCAGCAGUGGGGAAUAUUGCACAAGGGGCGCAAGCCUGAUGCAGCCAUGCCGCGUGUAUGAAGAAGGCCGUCGGGUUGUAAAGUACUUUCAGCGGGGAGGCGUUACCCGCAGAAGAAGCACCGGCUAACGCCGUGCCAGCCGCCGCGGUAAUAC
rnacentral:rRNA from 1 species